UGUUUGCUUAACUUUGUAUAUAGUUAAUUCUUUUAUUUGUUUUUAGUUGCAACCUUAUAUUGUGAUUGUUUGUUUACGUGUACGACUGUACGAGCGAUUAUGAUCCUAAAUGUUGAUAUGCUAGCGAAUAAAAAUGGUGUAUGUAUGAUGCAGUUACUGAUUACAUUUGUUGGUAACCUGUGUGACAAUCUAUUAUUCAAUCAUGGAGGUGUUUAGGAUUGGAUAUUAUAAACUGUCUUUUUACGUGUGAAAUAACGUUGGUGCCUAUAGAAUACAUUAUUUUCUCUCUGAAAUAGAGCAAAAGUAGCAAGCAUUUUGUAUUGAAAAAGCAUAACUUUCUCAAAGUUUUUUGAGAUAAUUAAUUUGAUUUUCAAUUUGAUAUUGGUGAUAUGCAUAUCACAUUUUAACUCUAGGAUAGUAAGAUAUGAAAGUUAAGAACUAAUUUGGGAUAUAGUAGAUUAUAUCGUAGUCCAAACACUAAAUAAUGAACUAUUUUGCUAUAAAGAUUUGAUCUUAUCGAUUCCAUACGCUUAAACUUUAUAUUAGUGAGAUUAUGUCUGUUGGAUUGGAUGGCUCGAACCUUGACACCAUGUUUGAGCUGAAAAUGUAGAAUAGAAUACUAAGAAAGAUUCAGGUUCAUCGGCUGAAACCGUUAUGGCAACACUUUCUGACCUAUCGUCGGGUUGUGACAUUCAGGUGUAACAUUGAGAUUGUUUAUGUGCAAAAUAAAAAUAGUUGGUACAACUUUACUUUCACAACUCGCAAGUGCAGGAAAAGGGUUUCACGGAAGGAUGACAAUUUCUGGUGUGAUGGCAGUGAAACAGGGGUGUUCUUUUCAGGGGCGAGGUAGUAACUUUUAGGUAUAAGGUAGAGAUUAUUGAUGUCUGAACUAAAAAUGGUUGGUAAUUGUCUACAUGCACCACUGGAAAGUCAGAAAGGGGAUUUCACGCAGAGACCGCAACUCCAGGUGCGAUGGCUGUGAGUCAGAGGUCUACUUUCUACAAGUGAGGUAUGUAUGUGGUGGAAUAGUUAGCAGACUUGGGAAGGCAAAAAAAAAGAGUAGUGGUUUAUAUAGAUAUGUCUUAAAGGCUGCAAGCAACAUUUUUAUAUCGAAAUAGAAUCGGAAACAAGUCCAUAGUUAGUGACACCUAUAUUACAAUUGAACUCAGUAAUGAAAGCAAUGAUCUAACAGGUACAGUUUCUAGGCAUCUCAUGCCCUUUGUACACAUAUUCAUUAUGAAUAAGAUUUCCAGAAUACGUACACGCAAGGUAUUUGUUGCAUCUUUAUGCGUUAUAUCGCUAUGGUUCAAGUGUUUUGCUGAAUAGAGAUUUCCAGAAGAGCUUCUGACUACAUUGAUCCACCUAAAAUACUUAUUUAUAGAGGAUACAAGUCUCAUUCACAAAUAUGGGUUGCCAAGUAUUGAUCUUUUGAUGAAGAGUUCCCAAACAUGGAGAAACUUGAGAUAGAGGUAAAUAGCGCAAAGGCUAUUUUGUAUUCAGUUUGUUCUGAUACUCAUGCCUAAACAUGCUGACACAUAACAAAUGCAAGCGUAGAUUUUAUAUGAUUCAUGGUUUGAUAUAUAUGAGAGUAAUGACUCUGUUAAGCUUGACAAUUAUUCGGAUAAUAUAUUUGGAGCAUCUUUAGAGUUAGAGAUUAUAACUAUGACUUCAUAAAAGAGUUAAUUUGAUUUUGUGAA